AACGCUGGCGGUGCGCCUUAUGCAUGCAAGUUGAGCGAAGCUUUUUGGUAGUUUACUACUAGAAAUGACUGAGCGGCGAACGGGUGAGUAACGCGUGAGCAAUCUACCUUAGUUACUGGGAUAGCCCGAGGAAACUCGGAUUAAUACCGGAUAUUCUUAUUUUUUCACAUGAAGUUUUAAGGAAAGGUCAGCCGAACUAAGAUGAGCUCGCGUUCUAUCAGCUAGUUGGUGGGGUAAAAGCCUACCAAGGCUACGACGGAUAGCUGGUCUGAGAGGACGAUCAGCCACACUGGGACUGAGACACGGCCCAGACUCCUACGGGAGGCUGCAGCAGGGAAUAUUGUGCAAUGAGCGAAAGCUUGACACAGCGACACCGCGUGUGGGAUGACGGUUCUAGGAUUGUAAACCACUUUCAGGAGGGAAGAAAAUGACGGUACCUCCACAAGAAGACCCGGCCAA
rnacentral:rRNA from 1 species